rnacentral:rRNA from 1 species
UACGUAGGGGGCAAGCGUUGUCCGGAUUUAUUGGGCGUAAAGAGCGUGUAGGCGGCUAGAUAGGUCCGUUGUGAAAACUCGAGGCUCAACCUCGAGACGCCGAUGGAAACCAUCCAGCUAGAGUCCGGAAGAGGAGAGUGGAAUUCCCGGUGUAGCGGUGAAAUGCGCAGAUAUCGGGAAGAACACCCGUGGCUAAGGCGGCUCUCUAGUACGGUACUGACGCUGAGACGCGAAAGCGUGGGGAGCAAACAGGG